UACGUAGGGUGCAAGCGUUGUCCGGAAUUAUUGGGCGUAAAGAGCUCGUAGGCGGUUCGUCGCGUCGGCUGUGAAAUCCCGAGGCUCAACCUCGGGUCUGCAGUCGAUACGGGCGGACUGGAGUUCGGCAGGGGAGACUGGAAUUCCUGGUGUAGCGGUGAAAUGCGCAGAUAUCAGGAGGAACACCGGUGGCGAAGGCGGGUCUCUGGGCCGAUACUGACGCUGAGGCGCGAAAGCCAGGGGAGCAAACGGG
rnacentral:rRNA from 1 species